AACAUCUAAGUACCCCGAGGAAAAGAAAUCAACCGAGAUUCCGAAAGUAGCGGCGAGCGAAAUUGGACUAGCCCUUAAGCUUUACACGCGUUAGACGAACGGUCUGGAAAGUCCGACGAUACAGGGUGAUAGUCCCGUAGUUGACGACGUGUGUUCAGUGAAAUCGAGUAGGGCGGGACACGUGAUAUCCUGUCUGAAUAUGGGGGGACCAUCCUCCAAGGCUAAAUACUACUGACUGACCGAUAGUGAACCAGUACCGUGAGGGAAAGGCGAAAAGAACCCCUGUGAGGGGAGUGAAAUAGAACCUGAAACCGUGUACGUACAAGCAGUAGGAGCAGGCUUUGUCCUGUGACUGCGUACCUUUUGUAUAAUGGGUCAGCGACUUAUAUUCAGUGGCAAGGUUAACCAUCUAGGGGAGCCGUAGGGAAACCGAGUCUUAACUGGGCGUUCAGUCUCUGGAUAUAGACCCGAAACCAGGUGAUCUAGCCAUGGGCAGGUUGAAGGUUGAGUAACAUCAACUGGAGGACCGAACCGACUAAUGUUGAAAAAUUAGCGGAUGACUUGUGGCUAGGGGUGAAAGGCCAAUCAAACCUGGAGAUAGCUGGUUCUCCCCGAAAGCUAUUUAGGUAGCGCCUCGGACGAAUACUACUGGGGGUAGAGCACUGUUAAGGCUAGGGGGUCAUCCCGACUUACCAACCCUUUGCAAACUCCGAAUACCAGUAAGUACUAUCCGGGAGACACACGGCGGGUGCUAACGUCCGUCGUGGAGAGGGAAACAACCCAGACCGCCAGCUAAGGUCCCAAAUUACUACUAAGUGGGAAACGAUGUGGGAAGGCUCAGACAGCCAGGAUGUUGGCUUAGAAGCAGCCAUCAUUUAAAGAAAGCGUAAUAGCUCACUGGUCGAGUCGGCCUGCGCGGAAGAUGUAACGGGGCUAAGUAGUAAACCGAAGCUGCGGCAAUAUACUUUUGUAUAUUGGGUAGGGGAGCGUUCUGUAAGCGGUUGAAGGUGUGUGGUAACGCAUGCUGGACGUAUCAGAAGUGCGAAUGCUGACAUGAGUAACGAUAAAGGGGGUGAAAAACCUCCUCGCCGGAAGACCAAGGGUUCCUGUCCAACGUUAAUCGGGGCAGGGUAAGUCGACCCCUAAGGCGAGGCCGAAAGGCGUAGUCGAUGGGAAACGGGUUAAUAUUCCCGUACUUCUUACAAUUGCGAUGGGGGGACGGAGAAGGCUAGGUGGGCCUGGCG
rnacentral:rRNA from 1 species